rnacentral:rRNA from 1 species
GACGAACGCUGGCGUCGUGCUUAACACAUGCAAGUAGAACGGAGAGGACCUGCUUUUGUGGUGAGCUCGAGUGGCGAAAGUGUGAGUAACACGGGAGUAACCUGCCCUUGACUUUGGGAUAACUUCAGGAAACUGGGGCUAAUACCGGAUAGGAGCUCAUGCUGCAUGGUGGGGGGUGGAAAGUUUCGGCGGUUGGGGAUGGACUCGCGGCUUAUCAGCUUGUUGGUGGGGUAGUGGCUUACCAAGGCGUUGACGGGUAGCCGGCCUGAGAGGGUGACCGGCCACAUUGGGACUGAGAUACGGCCCAGACUCCUACGGGAGGCAGCAGUGGGGAAUAUUGCACAAUGGGCGGAAGCCUGAUGCAGCAACGCCGCGUGCGGGAUGACGGCCUUCGGGUUGUAAACCGCUUUCGCCUGUGACGAAGCGUGAGUGACGGUAAUGGGUAAAGAAGCACCGGCUAACUACGUG